GAUGAUGACAUGCUAGCCAAUUUGGACUAUGAAAGCUGGCAAAAGUGAGAAAUUGACUCCUAAAGUGUACAUUCAUCCUGUGGGAUUUUUUUUUCAAAUUGAUCUAGAGAUAUACAUUAUAUGCCCAUUUGUAUAAAAAAAACUAUUUAUUUACAUGUAUUUAUGUAACAUUGAAGAUCAUGUUGAAUUCUAUACAAUCAUGAGAAUGGACAAAUCUUCAAAAUAUUUAAUUUACAAUUUAGUUGUAUAUUGAGUACACAUCUAGUUGAUUAGUUUACAUGUAUCUACAGUUGUCUUUCAUGAUCAAAUUACAACUUACAUUUAUUUAAUAAAUUAUUUGAUAAU
rnacentral:misc_RNA from 1 species